UACGUAGGGGGCGAGCGUUGUCCGGAAUUAUUGGGCGUAAAGCGCGCGUAGGCGGCCGGUUAAGUCCUGUGUGAAAGACCACGGCUCAACCGUGGGGGUGCAUGGGAAACUGGCCGGCUUGAGUGCAGGAGAGGGGAGCGGAAUUCCCGGUGUAGCGGUGGAAUGCGUAGAGAUCGGGAGGAACACCAGUGGCGAAGGCGGCUCUCUGGCCUGUAACUGACGCUGAGGCGCGAAAGCGUGGGGAGCGAACAGGAUUAGAAACCCCCGUAGUCC
rnacentral:rRNA from 1 species